rnacentral:rRNA from 1 species
GACGUAGGGUGCAAGCGUUGUCCGGAAUUAUUGGGCGUAAAGAGCUCGUAGGCGGUUCGUCGCGUCGGCUGUGAAAACCUGAGGCUCAACCUCAGGCCUGCAGUCGAUACGGGCAGACUAGAGUGCGGUAGGGGAGACUGGAAUUCCUGGUGUAGCGGUGAAAUGCGCAGAUAUCAGGAGGAACACCGGUGGCGAAGGCGGGUCUCUGGGCCGUAACUGGACGCUGAGGAGCGAAAGCGUGGGGAGCGAACAGG